rnacentral:rRNA from 1 species
UUCCCCCAGUAACGGCGAGUGAAGCGGGAAAAGCUCAGGCUGAAAUCUUCGGAGAUGUAGUCUGCAGAAGUGAAGGUCGGGCAAGGAGUCUACAUUGAAGUCGCCUGAGAUGGCGCGCCAAGGAGGGUGAUAGCCCCGUUCAUAAUGUAGAUGACUGCAGCACCUCGCUUCGAAGAGUCGAGUCGUUUGGGAUCGCAGCUCUCAGUGGGAGGUAAAUUCCUUCUAAAGCUAAAUAUGGAUGGGAGACCAAUAGCGAACAAGUACCGUGAGGGAAAGAUGAAAAGAACUUUGAAAAGAGAGUGAAAUAGUACCUGAAAUUGCUGAAAAGGAAAAGUUGGGUAGCAGUGGGGCUGUAGGUACUUGUACCUGUUGCCGGUUAGGCUUGCUUGGGGAUGCGAGAAAAGGUAGGGAAGUCGAUUCGGCUCCCUUGUCCUGUCGUAUGCCCGAGUGACUCUAACAAAAUGCUUCUCAACAACCCGUCUUGAAACACGGACCAAGGAGUCUAACAUGUGCGCGAGUGCUCGGGGUGUAACCUCCCAGCGCGAAAUGAAAGUAAAGGCAGCAAUGCUUAGGUAGGAUGGUGUCAAAACCAGCACUAUCGACCGACCAUGAUCCUUCGGGUGAAAGGUUUGAGUGUGAGCGCAAAUGUUGGGACCCGAAAGAUGGUGAACUAUGCUUGAGUAGGACGAAGCCAGGGGAAACUCUGGGUGGAGGUCCGUAGCGAUUCUAACGUGCAAAUUGAUCGUCGAACUUGGGUAUAGGGGGCGAAAGACUAAUCGAACCAUCUAGUAGCUGGUUCCUCCCGAAAUUUCCCUUAGGAUAGCUGCAACCGAACAGUUUUAUCAGGUAAAGCGAAUGAUUAGAGGCCUCAGGGGUGGAAUGUCCUUGACCUAUUCUCAAACUUUAAAUGGGUAAGAGCCCCGGGUUGCUUAACUGAACUCGGCGGUCGAAUGACGGUUGCUAGUGGGCCAAUCUGGGUAAGCUAGAUUGGCGAUGCGGGAUGCUCCGAACGUUGAGUUAAAGUGCCAAAGUAUCCGCUAACCUAGAUCCCACAAAAGGUGUUGGUUCAUUAAGACAGCAGGACGGUGGCCAUGGAAGUCGGAACCCGCUAAGGAGUGUGUAACAACUCACCUGCCGAAUGAACUAGCCCUGAAAAUGGAUGGCGCUCAAGCGGAUCACUUAUACUCAACCAACACGAUAAGUUCGAAGUCGUGUUGAGUAGGGAGGCGUGGGGAUGGCGACGCAUUCUGUGGCGUAAGCCGGGAUGAAGCCGUCUCUAGUGCAGAUCUUGGUAGCAGUAGCAAAUAUUCAAAUGAGAACUUUGAAGACUGAAGUGGAGAAAGGUUCCAUGUGAACAGUAAUUGGACAUGGGUGAGUCGAUCCUAAGAGAUAGGAAAAUUCUUUUUGAAAGAUUGGUCUUCUUCGGAUGGCCACGCCUAUCGAAAGGGAAGCGGGUUAAUAUUCCCGCACCAGAAGGUGGAUAAUGAGUGGUAACACAACAGAAACUGGGGACGCUGGCUAGAGUCCUGGAAAGAGUUCUCUUUUCUUUUUAACGCUUCUGCCCAACCUUGGAAUCGGAUUGCCCGGCGAUAAGGUAGGGUGGGCGGCAAAGCAGCAUCUUUCUGUGCUGUCCGGUGCGCUCUAGACGGCCCUUGAAAUCCCAGUGGAUUGAUUUAUUCUCACAUCUGGUCGUACUCAUAACCGCCUCAGGUCUCCAAGGUGUGCAGCCUCUAGUCGAUAGAACAAUGUAGAUAA